rnacentral:rRNA from 1 species
AGAGUUUGAUCAUGGCUCAGAACGAACGCUGGCGGCGUGGAUAAGACAUGCAAGUCGAACGCUGAUUUGCGGGUAGCAAUAUUCGCAAGUCGGAGUGGCGCAAGGGUGUGUAACACGUGGGUAAUCUGCCGUGAAGUUUGGGAUAACUUGCUGAAAGGCGAGCUAAUACCGGAUGUGAACGCAAGUUCAAAGUUGGGGACCGCAAGGCCUGACGCUUCACGAUGAGCCCGCGGCCUAUCAGCUAGUUGGUGAGGUAACGGCUCACCAAGGCUAAGACGGGUAGCUGGUCUGAGAGGACGACCAGCCACACUGGAACUGAGACACGGUCCAGACACCUACGGGUGGCAGCAGUCGAGAAUUUUUCUCAAUGGGCGAAAGCCUGAAGGAGCGACGCCGCGUGGGGGAUGAAUGGCUUCGGCCCGUAAACCCCUGUCAUUUGUGAACAAAUUGUUUCACCUAACACGUGAAGCAUUGAUUGUAACGGAAGAGGAAGGGACGGCUAACUCUGUGCCAGCAGCCGCGGUAAUACAGAGGUCCCAAGCGUUGUUCGGAUUCACUGGGCGUAAAGGGUGCGUAGGCGGCCAAGUAAGUUCGAUGUGAAAUCCCGCAGCUCAACUGCGGAACUGCAUUGGAUACUAUUUGGCUCGAGGAAUGGAGGGGAGACUGGAAUUCUCGGUGUAGCAGUGAAAUGCGUAGAUAUCGAGAGGAACACCAGUGGCGAAGGCGAGUCUCUGGACAUUUCCUGACGCUGAGGCACGAAAGCCAGGGGAGCAAACGGGAUUAGAUACCCCCGUAGUCC